AUUGAACGCUGGCGGCAGGCCUAACACAUGCAAGUCGAACGGUAACAGGAAGACGCUUGCUUCUUCGCUGACGAGUGGCGGACGGGUGAGUAAUGUCUGGGAAACUGCCUGAUGGAGGGGGAUAACUACUGGAAACGGUAGCUAAUACCGCAUAAUGUCGCAAGACCAAAGAGGGGGACCUUCGGGCCUCUUGCCAUCGGAUGUGCCCAGAUGGGAUUAGCUAGUAGGUGGGGUAACGGCUCACCUAGGCGACGAUCCCUAGCUGGUCUGAGAGGAUGACCAGCCACACUGGAACUGAGACACGGUCCAGACUCCUACGGGAGGCAGCAGUGGGGAAUAUUGCACAAUGGGCGCAAGCCUGAUGCAGCUAUGCCGCGUGUAUGAAGAAGGCCUUCGGGUUGUAAAGUACUUUCAGCGGGGAGGAAGGGAGUAAAGUUAAUACCUUGGCUCAUUGACGUUACCCGCAGAAGAAGCACCGGCUAACUCCGUG
rnacentral:rRNA from 1 species